GGGGGGCGGGGGGCCAUGCGGGCCCGGCCCGGGGAAGGCGACAGCCCCCACGGGCCGCUGUGAGACCUCCCAGAGGUGGCCGGUGCAGCUAAUCCAGCCCCCCGAGUACUAGUCCCAAUGGAAUGUGACGGGAGCUUUGCCUGGCAAGGAAUUACUCUGUCCAGUACUGGGUUCUUCAGUACAAGAAAGAAAAGGAGCUACUGGAGAAGGUUCAGAGGAGAGCCAUAAAGAUGAUUAGAGGUCUGGAACAUCUCUCUUAUGAGGAGAGACUGCAGGACCUGAGCCUGAAUUGUCUAGAGAUGAGAAGACCGAGAGAGGAUCUCAUCAAUGGCCUAUAAGUAUCUCAAAGAUAGCAAGAAAUUCAAGCACGUGUUGUCUCAGGCAAAGAAAGUAACCUUAAAAAUUGCAUUUGAAGGAUUAAUGUCACCUCUGAUGUACCUGGAUCCACCUCACUACAUCUCACAAAAAGGACCCGCUUGUGCAAGAGAGUGCUAACUCUGACAUUACCUGUAUGCACUAAAGAAAAGAUCUCUGACUUCAAAACACUUGAGAGAAGGAAGUUUUGGACAAGACAUGCUAGAUGGUGGAAACCUCCUAAAUUAAAGGAAGUCAGAAAGGGACUGAACCAUGCUUUUGUGUUCUCUCUCUUUCAGUUCUGAUCUUUUUUUCAUAGAAGUUCAAUAUUCUUGAGAGAAAAUAUGUUGAGAUAAAUUUAUCAUAAUGCCAUGAUCAACAGGAACCUUCAGCUAACAGCAGUCAGCCUACAUGGCUGGAAAAUACGUAAUUUAUCACCCCUACCCAGAAAGCUUUCUAGCAAGAACAUGUAAUCAGAACACAGUCAAGCAUGACUGUUUCUCUCAUGAAGAGAAACUUAAACUUAUGCAAGGAUCCUGGACUGCCUCCCUGAGUGUCUACACAUGCCCAAGUAUAGUUUCUGUAUAGCUCACUGAAAAGCAGGAUAAAACACGAUAGACAAAUUUACUACCGUUUAAAACCAAAGAAACACAUCUUAACUCUUAUGCGCAAAUUUAGAAA